rnacentral:misc_RNA from 1 species
GAUGAAGAACGUAGCGAAAUGCGAUAAGUAAUGCGAAUUGCAGAAUUCAGUGAGUCAUCGAAUCUUUGAACGCACAUUGCGCCCUUUGGUAUUCCGAAGGGCAUGCCUGUUCGAGCGUCAUUAUCAAAGCAUCAAGCUUGGCUUGUCGUUGGGCCCUUUGUCACCUGGUGACAGGUCCAAAAGAUAAUGACCGGUGUCGUAAAGACACUAUAUGCAACGAGCUUAUAACAGCACGCAUCUAGUAGUUAUAUGGCCCGGUUGUCACCCCUUUAUUUCUCAAGGUUGACCUCGGAUCAGGUAAGAAUACCCGCUGAACUUAAGCAUAUCAAUAAGCGGAGGA